rnacentral:miRNA from 1 species
GAGGAACUAUUGGUGUGAUUUG